rnacentral:rRNA from 1 species
UCAGAGGGGGGUAGAAUUNCACGUGUAGCAGUGAAAUGCGUAGAGAUGUGGAGGAAUACCGAUGGCGAAGGCAGCCCCCUGGGAUAAUACUGACGUUCAUGCUNGAAAGCGUGGGUAGCAAACAGGAUUAGAUACCCUGGUAGUCCACGCCCUAAACGAUGUCAAUUAGCUGUUGGGGCACUUGAUGCCUUAGUAGCGAAGCUAACGCGUGAAAUUGACCGCCUGGGGAGUACGGUCGCAAGAUUAAAACUCAAAGGAAUUGACGGGGACCCGCACAAGCGGUGGAUGAUGUGGAUUAAUUCGAUGCAACGCGAAGAACCUUACCUGGUCUUGACAUGUACGGAAUCUUCCAGAGACGGAAGAGUGCCUUCGGGAGCCGUAACACAGGUGCUGCAUGGCUGUCGUCAGCUCGUGUCGUGAGAUGUUGGGUUAAGUCCCGCAACGAGCGCAACCCUUGUCAUUAGUUGCCACCAUUCAGUUGGGCACUCUAAUGAGACUGCCGGUGACAAACCGGAGGAAGGUGGGGAUGACGUCAAGUCCUCAUGGCCCUUAUGACCAGGGCUUCACACGUCAUACAAUGGUCGGUACAGAGGGUAGCCAAGCCGCGAGGUGGAGCCAAUCUCAGAAAACCGAUCGUAGUCCGGAUUGCACUCUGCAACUCGAGUGCAUGAAGUCGGAAUCGCUAGUAAUCGCAGGUCAGCAUACUGCGGUGAAUACGUUCCCGGGUCUUGUACACACCGCCCGUCACACCAUGGGAGUGGGGGAUACCAGAA